rnacentral:rRNA from 1 species
UACGUAGGGUGCAAGCGUUAAUCGGAAUUACUGGGCGUAAAGCGUGCGCAGGCGGUUGUGCAAGACAGAUGUGAAAUCCCCCGGGCUCAACCUGGGAAUUGCAUUUGUGACUGCACGGCUAGAGUGUGUCAGAGGGGGGUAGAAUUCCACGUGUAGCAGUGAAAUGCGUAGAUAUGCGGAGGAACACCGAUGGCGAAGGCAAUCCCCUGGGCCGCACUGACUCAUGC